UUUACUAGCCUAUAUAAAGCAACCAUUUAUAAAUAAAAAUCAUAGCCCAGUUUAAAAGACCAAGUCUGAAAAAUUACAAUGUAUAUUAUAAAAUACAAUAUAAUAUCAAUAUAUUGAAAAAUAACACUAAAAACAAAAACAUCGAUUCACAUUCGUAUCACGAUUCGUAUUUUUUUAAAUUAUAAAAUAAAUUUUUUAAAGACAAUUUUAGGCCAUCUCGGCACUUACUAACUGCGUAUACUUCAUACAGAACGUCAGAGGACAUGAGGAGCUUUUGUAACCUGUAACCUGCUUUGAAAAAAGUUUCAUUAUAAUUUAUAAACCUAAUAAUAUAUUGUGAGAAUUGGUUUGAAUCGAAUCGUCACCCUAAGAAUUGGAAUCGAAUCAAACCGUGAGUUUUUAUAAGAUUCACAUCCUUGGUAAUCAUUUGGACAUUAAAGUGCCUUUUUUAGUUAAGACAAAUAAAAGUUGGAUGUACCUGUGCGAUGCAGGUGCUAUACUGUGUGAACAUGGCCUCAUACAGGGCCAUCAGUCCACUCUGGCCCGCUGCUGCACAGGCUCGGGCCUCCAGCAACGGCACUGACUGCUGCAACAAUGAAGAAAAGUCAGACAAUUAAGACUGUGGUUAUUGCGCUAAAAUUAAGUUGCUAAUGACCAUGUCUGUCAGCUGACUGUGAACUGAGUGCAGGGCCUGACGGACGCUCUGAGACAGCAGGACCUCGUGUCGUAGUCGCUGCUUGCCAAAGGCCACCGCUCCACUGGUCACUAUUAUCAUUUCACGGCCAUUGUUCUGCAGCACGGCCACCUGGACGACAGAACACAGUCAUGUACCUACCUGCUCCACGAUAGAGGCCAACCUCCCCAGCGCCAGGCCGCACUCGUCGCCGCGGGUGACCACUGCGCUGCCCAGCUUGACCACGAUCCUCUUGGCGUGGCGCAGCUCGCGGCGGUGGGCAAAGGGGCUGCCAUGGGGUCUCUCUUGUGGAGCUGUGUGGAUAGGGAACACCUUUUAGUAUCAUUUAGCAUUAUGCUGGAGCCUAUCCCAGCUGCACUCAGGCGGAAGGCAGGGUAUACCCUGGACAAGUCGCCACCUGAUCGCAGGGCCAACACAGAUGCAGACGGAACUCCGGAGGCAGCGUGCAGUAUUCUGGACAUCUGUGUUGGUGAAUCUUUUGCAAUUUGUUUAAUGAACAAUGGAGACUGCAAAGAAGAAAGCUGUAGGUGCGAUCGGUGUAUUAGCGGCGGACUACAGCAACACAACCAGGAGGACUUUGAGGUGGAUAGCAGACGCGCUACCAUGGCGUGACUCCAGGAUGCAGAGACCAGCAGCGACAUGCAGG